rnacentral:lncRNA from 1 species
GCCAAUUGGAUGAUUGGAUUCAUUAGUUACUAAGGUAUUUUGGUUUAGUCCAUGCUAAUUAGAUCGAUCACAUGAUGACUGAUUAGAUGAGACCUAACUUAAACCUUUCUAAUUAAUAUUAAGCCUUGUGGUCUUCCACCAUUGUAGAAGUACGGACGUGAUACUGGCGACUAUUUUUGGUUGGUUACAGUAGUUUAGUUGUAUCAGA